rnacentral:tRNA from 1 species
UGACGUUAGCUCAGCGGUAGAGCAGCAGGUUCGCAGCCUGCAGGUCGCCGGUUCGAAUCCGGUACGUCAACCA